AGAUGAAAAAAUUGUUUUUUUAAUGUAUGAAUUUAAAAAAUUCUUUAACAUAAAUUAGAAACUAGAAAUAGUGAUAAUUUAAUUUUGUUAACAAAUAAUAGAGAGUCUAGACAUCUUAGCUCGAAUUCAAUUUAUUGAUUAAAUGGAAAUUUAAUAGCAGUUCACAGAAGAAAAAAUACGUAUAGCGGAUUUGCACGAAAUUAAUUUCGAGACGUCCCGUUGCAAAUAAAUAUAAGAUAUCAUAGAUAAACGAAAUUUGUGCCAAGCAAUUAUAUCAAAAGACAGAGAUCUCCGUUCGUGGCACAGUGUGUUGUGCCAUGACCCAGUAUUUGGGCACCGCCUUACUCCUGGCUCGUGGCCAACUUAUCAUCUCGUACAAACCCUCCAUAAACAUCAGAAGACUUUACACCGAGUUCUUGAUACAAGAAAAAGUACUUUUUGCAGAUAUGCUUCAAGAUGUUUUCAAAACUAUUUCUUACAGUAAUAAAAGAAAUAAAAUGUACUGCGGUUUUUCAGAUUCAAUGUAAUGUUUUUAUUACAAAUAACCGAGCAUUUCUGUAUGCGUUAAAUACAAAAAUUGAGAGAUAAGUAAGAGUGGAAAAAAAACUUGAAAGUCACAAAAUUAUUAAUUUAAAUAAUUAAAUUAAAAUUUUUCUGAUGGAAAUGUUUUUUAGACACUUAAUCUAUCGUUUAAAUUAAUGCACAUGUUUAGGAUAGUUUUUUUCGCAUUUUUUUGGGACAUUAUUCUGUCUUGUUUGAUUCAUGUUUUAUUUAUGUUUUCUACAGUAAAAACUGAAACCCAGGGGGGAAAAAUUGUCACUAAAGUUUCACAUAAAAUAAAGCCCUAUUUUAUCCCAAUCCCGCCGAAAGAAAAAUUCGGAAAUAUUGCACAAUUUAUGAAAAAAAAUUUUAUAGAGAGGAAAUUUUAAUUUUAUAACUUUUAUUCAUCGAAUUAAAUAAUAAUGAAGUUUCUCACGCAUUAAUUCAGAA
rnacentral:lncRNA from 1 species